CACGUAGGCACCAAGCGUUGUCCGGAUUUAUUGGGCGUAAAGAGCUCGUAGGCGGUUCGGUAAGUCGGGUGUGAAAACUUUGGGCUCAACCCAAAGCGUGCACUCGAUACUGCCGUGACUAGAGUUCGGUAGGGGAGUGGGGAAUUCCUAGUGUAGCGGUGAAAUGCGCAGAUAUUAGGAGGAACACCGGUGGCGAAGGCGCCACUCUGGGCCGAAACUGACGCUGAGGAGCGAAAGCGUGGGUAGCAAACAGG
rnacentral:rRNA from 2 species